GACGAACGCUGGCGGCGUGCUUAACACAUGCAAGUCGAACGGAAAGGCCCUGCUUUUGUGGGGUGCUCGAGUGGCGAACGGGUGAGUAACACGUGAGUAACCUGCCCUUGACUUUGGGAUAACUUCAGGAAACUGGGGCUAAUACCGGAUAGGAGCUCCUGCUGCAGGGUGGGGGUUGGAAAGUUUCGGCGGUUGGGGAUGGACUCGCGGCUUACCAGCUUGUUGGUGGGGUAGUGGCUUACCAAGGCUUUGACGGGUAGCCGGCCUGAGAGGGUGACCGGCCACCAUGGGACUGAGAUACGGCCCAGACUCCUACAGGAGGCAGCAGUGGGGAAUAUUGCACAAUGGGCGGAAGCCUGAUGCAGCAACGCCGCGUGCGGGAUGACGGCCUUCGGGUUGUAAACCGCUUUCGCCUGUGACGAAGCGUGAGUGACGGUAAUGGGUAAAGAAGCACCGGCUAACUACGUG
rnacentral:rRNA from 1 species